rnacentral:lncRNA from 1 species
AUGACACAGUUGAUCGAAAAUGACACAGACACAGAAAAAUCAGGACUCGGCCCCCUCCAGUGCCUCUACCUGCUGCCCACAGCUGGAGUGCAGAUGUGCAAAGUAAGGAGCAAAAGGGGAAAAGACUUGGUUGUGGUGUGUGGCUGCCGGGAGCUUCCUCAUCCUUUAUGAGCUGGAUCUGUAAAGGAGACUGUCAGGCAGAUGGCUCCCCCAGCUAGUCAUCCCAGUACUAUUUCUGGAACGAGCCACCUUUCCCCACUGAUCAGAAGUGCCUCCUUUCUCGUCUCACAGAGGCCUUGUUGCACUUGCCUCUCCUCUGGGCU